AAUAUGAACACAACACCUGAGCUUCACACCCUUCAGAAUAUCGGUCAUUGUAGUAUGGGGUUUUCUAGGUUAACGUGCACGAUUGAAACUUUGGAAUACCGGUUCAGAAAUUAAGAACAUGAAGGACUUGGUCUGGGAUCUGAAUGAAAAGUUGGAUUCAAUGAAAGCUGAAAAGGUUGGGGUUCUCUUACAAACCCUUUAUGUUAUUUC